rnacentral:rRNA from 1 species
CCUACGGGUGGCAGCAGUGGGGAAUAUUGGACAAUGGGCGAAAGCCUGAUCCAGCCAUGCCGCGUGUGUGAAGAAGGCCUUCGGGUUGUAAAGCACUUUCAGUGGGGAAGAAAGCCUUGGGGCUAAUACCCUCGAGGAAGGACAUCACCCACAGAAGAAGCACCGGCUAACUCCGUGCCAGCAGCCGCGGUAAUACGGAGGGUGCGAGCGUUAAUCGGAAUUACUGGGCGUAAAGCGCGCGUAGGCGGUCUGAUAAGCCGGUUGUGAAAGCCCCGGGCUCAACCUGGGAACGGCAUCCGGAACUGUCCGGCUAGAGUGCAGGAGAGGAAGGUAGAAUUCCCGGUGUAGCGGUGACAUGCGUAGAGAUCGGGAGGAAUACCAGUGGCGAAGGCGGCCUUCUGGACUGACACUGACGCUGAGGUGCGAAAGCGUGGGUAGCAAACAGGAUUAGAUACCCUAGUAGUC